rnacentral:rRNA from 1 species
ACGUGGGCAACCUGCCUGUAAGAUUGGGAUAACCCCGGGAAACCGGGGCUAAUACCGGAUAAUACUUUUCGUUGCAUAACGAGAAGUUGAAAGGCGGCUUUUAGCUGUCACUUACAGAUGGGCCCGCGGCGCAUUAGCUAGUUGGUAAGGUAACGGCUUACCAAGGCGACGAUGCGUAGCCGACCUGAGAGGGUGAUCGGCCACACUGGGACUGAGACACGGCCCAGACUCCUACGGGAGGCAGCAGUAGGGAAUCUUCCGCAAUGGACGAAAGUCUGACGGAGCAACGCCGCGUGAGUGAUGAAGGUUUUCGGAUCGUAAAACUCUGUUGUCAGGGAAGAACAAGUGCCGUUCAAAUAGGGCGGCACCUUGACGGUACCUGACCAGAAAGCCCCGGCUAACUACGUGCCAGCAGCCGCGGUAAUACGUAGGGGGCAAGCGUUGUCCGGAAUUAUUGGGCGUAAAGCGCGCGCAGGCGGUCCUUUAAGUCUGAUGUGAAAGCCCACGGCUUAACCGUGGAGGGCCAUUGGAAACUGGAGGACUUGAGUACAGAAGAGGAGAGUGGAAUUCCACGUGUAGCGGUGAAAUGCGUAGAGAUGUGGAGGAACACCAGUGGCGAAGGCGACUCUCUGGUCUGUAACUGACGCUGAGGUGCGAAAGCGUGGGGAGCGAACCAGGAUUAGAUACCCCUGGUAGUCCA